AGACUCCCCAGCAGUGACCACAGGGACGGACAUGCUAACUGGAGAAGUGAAGGGUGAGGGUGCCAAGAAGCAUAGACACCAGACGGUAAAACACAGAGCAGAGAGAGCAAACAGAGAACCACGUGAUCUGAGACUGAUAGAAAAAUACAACCUUGUGAAUCUGCUCCUUGGCAUAAUAUUCCUACACAAGCAUGAAUGAGAGUGAAUAUCACAGCCCAACUUUCCAUGGGAGCCCAUUAUAUGGCACAAGCAGAAAGGCCUUGCCAUGAGGGGUAUGGUGGACCGAAUUAUGUCCCUCCUCCCAAACUCAUAGGAUGAAACCCUCCCAACCUGACUGUAUUUGGAAAUGGAGCCAUUAGAGAUAUAAUUAAGGUUAAAUAAGGAUCUCAGAUCAGACCAUCAAGGACUGGUGUCAGUAUAAGAAGAGAAAAAGACCCCAGGAGUGUGUGCUCACAGGUGAAGGGCCACAUGAAGACUCAGCAAGAAGAGAAAGUAGCCAUCCGCAAGCCACGAGGAGAAACCUUGGGCAAACCAAGCCUGCUGGCACCUAGAUCCUGGACUAAUAAGGCUAAGAAAAGACACGAUGAUUAAUGGGGCAUAUGUCAAAAGUGAGUUUCUCCUUGGGUUAAUUUGUAUACAUUAGAAAAAAAACUUUUUUUUCCAUUUCAUAAAGGAUUUGUGCAAAUCUGAAA